UACGAAGGGGGCUAGCGUUGCUCGGAACCACUGGGCGUAAAGGGUGCGUAGGCGGGUCUUUAAGUCAGGGGGUGAAAUCCUGGAGCUCAACUCCAGAACUGCCUUUGAUACUGAGGAUCUUGAGUUCGGGAGAGGUGAGUGGAACUGCGAGUGUAGAGGUGAAACUCGUAGAUAUUCGCAAGAACACCAGUGGCGAAGGCGGCUCACCUGGCCCGAUACUGACGCUGAGGUGCGAAAGCGUGGGGGAGCAAACAGG
rnacentral:rRNA from 1 species